UACGAAGGUCCCAAGCGUUAUCCGGAUUUAUUGGGUUUAAAGGGUGCGUAGGCGGGCUAUUAAGUCAGUGGUGAAAGCCUCAAGCUUAACUUGAGAAUUGCCAUUGAUACUGAUGACCUUGAGUACAUUUGAAGUGGGCGGAAUGUGUCAUGUAGCGGUGAAAUGCUUAGAUAUGACACAGAACACCGAUUGCGUAGGCAGCUCACUAAACUGUAACUGAUGCUGAGGCACGAAAGCGUGGGGAGCAAACAGG
rnacentral:rRNA from 1 species